CAUCAACCAAACCAGGAUCCAUGCCGACCGACAUCAUGCCGUUGCCGGGGAGAGUCGAGAGCCUGGCCGGCAGUGGGCUCACCACAAUCCCAAAAGAGUAUGUUCGUCCCGAGUCGGAGCGCGACAACCUCGGUGACGCUUUCGACGAAGCCAUGAAGUUGAACUCGAGUGGACCGCAGGUGCCGGUAGUCGACCUAGCGGGGUUUGAUUCGCCCGAUGAGGCGGUGAGGGCGAAGUGUGUGGAGGAAUUGAAGAAGGCAGCGGAGGAUUGGGGGG
rnacentral:misc_RNA from 1 species